AAUAAAGUAAUCAAAAGAUGCUAGAUUUUUAAUCUGGAUAUAGGAGCCCCCUCCUCUUAUUUA
rnacentral:tRNA from 1 species